rnacentral:rRNA from 1 species
UUGACAUCCCGAGAAAUCACCAGAGAUGGAGAGUUCCCUUCGGGGACACGGUGACAGGUGCUGCAUGGCUGUCGUCAGCUCGUGUCGUGAGAUGUUGGGUUAAGUCCCGCAACGAGCGCAACCCUCGUCCUUAGUUGCCAUCAUUAAGUUGGGCACUCUAAGGAAACCGCCGGUGAUAAACCGGAGGAAAGGGGGGAUGACAUCAAAUCCUCAUGGCCCUUACACGCUGGGCUACACACGUGCUACAAUGGCGGUGACAGUGGGCAGCGACCUCG